GGAGCAGAGACAUGCGGGUGAUGGAUCACAGGUGGAGGAAGAAGAAACUGAUCUCUCUGCAUGGUAUGAUCAAAUUAUUAACUGUGGUUUUAUUGGGGCCGUUAAACCUGAGGACAAAGAGGCCAUAAUAAGCAAAUCUGAGAAGGUCUUGAAGUCUACAAUUUUGUGGACAUCCUGGAAAACCAUUCAGGACUUUGCCACCAGUUCUUUUUCCCUGAUGUGGUGGAUGAUGAUGAUAAGGCUGAUGCAGACUUCAUCAUGCAGAACAUUCUUCCGAAAAUGUCGGAGAAGGGAUCAGUACAAGAGACUUAUGAAACCGCUAUAAUCAACUUUCUGCAAGACUUUCUCCAAGAAAUUGAAAGCUGUGUUAUGUAUGAACUGACAGAGUUGAUUUAGUAUAAAUAUUGUAAAAAAAAAACUAAAAAUUAAUGUUAAAAUGUAAUUGAUUUAAUUCAGACAAUAUCAACCCCAACCAAGCCAUUCAAUUUGACAACGGUUUAGACUGAAUUUAAAAUUAUACUAAAGGUAUGGAAUUGUACAUGUUCAGGAAAAU